UGGGGAAUAUUGGACAAUGGGCGAAAGCCUGAUCCAGCCAUGCCGCGUGUGUGAAGAAGGUCUUCGGAUUGUAAAGCCCUUUAAGUUGGGAGGAAGGGCAGUAAGCGAAUACCUUGCUGUUUUGACGUUACCGACAGAAUAAGCACCGGCUAACUCUGUGCCAGCAGCCGCGGUAAUACAGAGGGUGCAAGCGUUAAUCGGAAUUACUGGGCGUAAAGCGCGCGUAGGUGGUUCGUUAAGUUGAAUGUGAAAGCCCCGGGCUCAACCUGGGAACUGCAUCCAAAACUGGCGAGCUAGAGUAGGGCAGAGGGUGGUGGAAUUUCCUGUGUAGCGGUGAAAUGCGUAGAUAUAGGAAGGAACACCAGUGGCGAAGGCGACCACCUGGGCUCAUACUGACACUGAGGUGCGAAAGCGUGGGGAGCAAACAGG
rnacentral:rRNA from 1 species